rnacentral:rRNA from 1 species
CUGGCGGCGUGCCUACACAUGCAAGUCGAACGAGAAAGUGGAGCAAUCCAUGAGUACAGUGGCGACCGGGUGAGUAACACGUGACUAACCUACCUUCGAGUGGGGGAUAACCUCGGGAAACCGAGGCUAAUACCGCAUAACAUCGUGAGAUCAAAGCAGCAAUGCGCUGGAAGAGGGGGUCGCGGCUGAUUAGCUAGUUGGCGGGGUAACGGCCCACCAAGGCGAAGAUCGGUAGCCGGCCUGAGAGGGCGCACGGCCACACUGGAACUGAAACACGGUCCAGACUCCUACGGGAGGCAGCAGUGGGGAAUUUUGCGCAAUGGGGGAAACCCUGACGCAGCAACGCCGCGUGGAGGAUGAAGCCCCUUGGGGCGUAAACUCCUUUCGACCAAGACGAUAAUGACGGUACUGGUGGAAGAAGCACCGGCUAACUCUGUGCCAGCAGCCGCGGUAAUACAGAGGGUGCGAGCGUUGUUCGGAAUUAUUGGGCGUAAAGGGCGCGUAGGCGGCGCAGCAAGUCACUUGUGAAAUCUCCAAGCUUAACUUG